AACGAACGCUGGCGGCAUGCCUAACACAUGCAAGUCGAACGAGACCUUCGGGUCUAGUGGCGCACGGGUGCGUAACGCGUGGGAACCUGCCCUUAGGUUCGGAAUAACUCCCCGAAGGGGGUGCUAAUACCGGAUAAUGUCUUCGGACCAAAGAUUUAUCGCCUUUGGAUGGGCCCGCGUUGGAUUAGCUAGUUGGUAGGGUAAAAGCCUACCAAGGCGACGAUCCAUAGCUGGUCUGAGAGGAUGAUCAGCCACACUGGGACUGAGACACGGCCCAGACUCCUACGGGAGGCAGCAGUGGGGAAUAUUGGACAAUGGGCGAAAGCCUGAUCCAGCAAUGCCGCGUGAGUGAUGAAGGCCUUAGGGUUGUAAAGCUCUUUUACCCGGGAUGAUAAUGACAGUACCGGGAGAAUAAGCUCCGGCUAACUCCG
rnacentral:rRNA from 1 species